rnacentral:rRNA from 1 species
AUUGAACGCUGGCGGCAGGCUUAACACAUGCAAGUCGAGCGGAGAUGAGGUGCUUGCACCUUAUCUUAGCGGCGGACGGGUGAGUAAUGCUUAGGAAUCUGCCUAUUAGUGGGGGACUACAUUCCGAAAGGAAUGCUAAUACCGCAUACGCCCUACGGGGAAAGCAGGGGAUCUUCGGACCUUGCGCUAAUAGAUGAGCCUAAGUCGGAUUAGCUAGUCGGUGGGGUAAAGGCCUACCAAGGCGACGAUCUGUAGCGGGUCUGAGAGGAUGAUCCGCCACACUGGGACUGAGACACGGCCCAGACUCCUACGGGAGGCAGCAGUGGGGAAUAUUGGACAAUGGGCGGAAGCCUGAUCCAGCCAUGCCGCGUGUGUGAAGAAGGCCUUUUGGUUGUAAAGCACUUUAAGCGAGGAGGAGGCUACCUGGAUUAAUACUCUAGGAUAGUGGACGUUACUCGCAGAAUAAGCACCGGCUAACUCUGUGCCAGCCGCCGCCGUAACAC